GAAGCACGCCAGACCGCCGCUGGUGCGCGCUUGAGAAGGCCGCACUGGAGGAACGUCCGGACUGCACAGGGCGGCGUAGCAGCUAACGGCUGUCCACCGUGAGGUGAGGAUCAGAGCAACAGAGACGAGUCGAGGCGGGUUGCAAGCCACCGACGGUGUUCUAUCGGUCGCCCGCGCAAGCGGGCACGGCUGGCGCAAGCCAGACGGUUUGCGGCGCAAGCCACAAUGACCAUAGCCACCCGAAGCGGGCGGCGCCCGCUUCGGGUGAAACGGGCAAUCUCUACGCGCAGCAACACCAAGUAGGCACACGUUGACGGGGCCCCCGGAGUGUGCGGGUAGGUGGCAUUGAGCCGGGUGGGCGACCCCCGGCCCAGAGUAAUGGCGGUCACGCCCGGGCAACCGGGUGCACAGAAUCCGGCUUAUCGGCGCGCUUCACAC
rnacentral:RNase_P_RNA from 2 species